UGGGGAAUAUUGGACAAUGGGCGAAAGCCUGAUCCAGCAAUGCCGCGUGAGUGAGGAAGGCCUUAGGGUUGUAAAGCUCUUUCGGCGGGGACGAUGAUGACGGUACCCGCAGAAGAAGCCCCGGCUAACUUCGUGCCAGCAGCCGCGGUAAUACGAAGGGGGCGAGCGUUGUUCGGAUUUACUGGGCGUAAAGGGCGCGCAGGCGGUCAUUUUUGUCGAGUGUGAAAGCCCCGGGCUUAACCUGGGAACUGCGCUCGAAACGGGAUGACUAGAGAUCGGGAGAGGAGAGUGGAAUUCCCAGUGUAGAGGUGAAAUUCGUAGAUAUUGGGAAGAACACCGGUGGCGAAGGCGGCUCUCUGGACCGAUACUGACGCUGAGGCGCGAAAGCGUGGGGAGCAAACAG
rnacentral:rRNA from 1 species